UCGCGCCGGGAGGGGCCCUCGCGCCCCGCGCCCACAGGUGCACGCGCCCUUGGCGCCGCCUGCACCCCACGCGCCCCCUCCGCUCCCCGGCCGACGGCCCACCUGGGCUUCGUGAACAGUGGGAGGGAGAGUCUGGGGCCAGGAGAGGGACGGUGCAGGAUCAGGGAAAGUACUCGAAGUGUGCUCUGACUGCUGCAACAUGGGAGAUGUUGCCCACUACUCUGCCUGGAGCCUCAUGUUGCAUUUGACUGUUUUAGUAACCGCAUCCCACUGCAGACUCCAAUUGGUCCAGAUACCCCAUUUCUAUUUUAUGCAUAGUCUGCUGGGCCGCGUUUCUGUCGUCUUGUGUUUAGGCUGUUAUCUGUGCCCUAUAAAUAUCACCAAAAGCAAUCGUUAAGUCUGAGCCAGAUGAACCCUGCAGGGGUGCCAUAACUUACCAUAGACUGGAUGGAUCAAACACCAGAAAUGUAUUUCCUCACAUUUCAGGAGGCUGGAAGUCUGAAAUCGAGGUGUUGGCUGAGUUGGUUACUUCUGAGGCCUCUCUCCUUGGCUUGCAGAUGGCCACCUUCUCCCUGUAUUCUCACAUGGUCUUCCCUCUGUGUCUUACUGUGCCCUAAUCUCCUCUUGUUAUAAGGACAGCAGAUAUUGGGUUAGGAUCCAUGCUAAUGACCUCAUUUAACCUUAAUUACAUCUUUGACCCUAUCUCCAAAUAUGGUCACAUUUUGAGACACUGUCGGGUUAGGACUUCAACAUAUGAAUUUGGGGGUGGGGGUACAUAAUAUGUCCUUCUUUAGAACAGCUAAGACUUAUUCUAUAAUCCUGUCACUCAUCUUUGGCCUUUAUUUCCAGUGACCUUUCUUUCAUUUUCAGUCUGAAGAUCAUUCAACUCAACAGAAAAAAAAAAAAUAGAAAUGGAAGAGAUCUACUUUCUGUCUGUCCUGCAUCAGCAUUGCAUCAUGAUCCCCAUGCAGCUGGCUUACCCCUCCCGCAAUCAUCAGGCUCUGAAAAGAAAGAAAAUGACCUUUUAUACUUUCCUUUAGAAAAUUUUGUCAAAGCUUAAACAUUGACAUUUAAUGACAUUUAAAAUCUGUAUUAGUUUACUAGAGCUGCCAUAACAAAAUAUCACAGACUGGGUGGCUUAAACCAAGAAAUUUAUUUUCUCACAGUUCCAGAAAAGUCUAAGAUCAAGAUGCAGAUAGGAUUGGAAUCCUCAGAGGUCUCCUUGGCUUGCAGAUGGCUGCACCCUUGCUAAGUCCUCACACGUUCUUUCCUCUGCACAGAACCGUGUGCUAACUCCUCAUCAAAGACCAGAAGUAGAUCCUGAAUUGUAUUCAUUCUCAUCUCUUUCUACCUCCUCCAAGACAGAAGGACAUGAUUAACUUCUUUAUCUCAAUGUCAGCCUUCAAUAGCUACAAAAGUCUAAACUGUAAAUAGCGUUGAAGCUUUGCAUAAUAAAAUUCUUUUCCCCAGUGAUGGGCAGUUUUUCACAUAGUAACAUUCUUUUAAUCUUUUUUUCUUUUUAAUGAGUAGACAUAAAGAAAUGCUUAAAUAAAUAAUUAUCAACUAACUUACCUACAUUUAACUACACAUACCUAACAGACCUGAAUAUAGGCAGAGGAUGUGACAUUUUACUUACCCUUUUAUUAAAGUUACUGCUUCAUUUAUUGGUCUUUACUUCACUAGUGCAUCCAUAAAAUGUUUACAUUUUUUUAAACAAUAAAAUACUCUUGAAAUUAGUCCUUCUCUGUAAUCACUACAUAAAACUGCUUUAGAGACAGCCUUCAGAUCAACUAAAUUAUAUUUUACAAAAUGGCUUAGGUAUUUCAGUAGUAACUCUAUGGAACAACAGAAUUCACUGUUUAACCAGGGACCAAUAUUGGCAGCUGGCUUCCAUAACUUGUUUGAGGAAUGUAGUAAUUCCAAGGUUGCUGCAAGGACUAAUGUACAGGAAUAUUCCUGUAUUUUAUGGAAUAAAAAGGAAGAACGAGAGGAG
rnacentral:lncRNA from 1 species